GUACGGGGGGGGCAAGCGUUGUUCGGAAUACUGGGCGUAAAGGGCUCGUAGGUGGCCAACUAAGUCGGACGUGAAAUCCCUCGGCUUAACCGGGGGAACUGCAUCUGAUACUGGAUGGCUUGAGUUCGGGAGAGGGAUGCGGAAUUCCAGGUGUAGCGGUGAAAUGCGUAGAUAUCUGGAGGAACACCGGUGGCGAAGGCGGCAUCCUGGACCGACACUGACGCUGAGGAGCGAAAGCCAGGGGAGCAAACGGG
rnacentral:rRNA from 1 species